rnacentral:rRNA from 1 species
GAUGAACGCUAGCUACAGGCUUAACACAUGCAAGUCGAGGGGAAACGGCAUUAAGUGCUUGCACUUUUUGGACGUCGACCGGCGCACGGGUGAGUAACGCGUAUCCAACCUUCCCAUGACUAAGGGAUAACCUGCCGAAAGGCAGACUAAUACCUUAUGGUCUUCACUGACGGCAUCAGAUGUGAAGUAAAGAUUUAUCGGUUAUGGAUGGGGAUGCGUCUGAUUAGCUUGUUGGCGGGGUAACGGCCCACCAAGGCAACGAUCAGUAGGGGUUCUGAGAGGAAGGUCCCCCACAUUGGAACUGAGACACGGUCCAAACUCCUACGGGAGGCAGCAGUGAGGAAUAUUGGUCAAUGGGCGAGAGCCUGAACCAGCCAAGUAGCGUGCAGGAUGACGGCCCUAUGGGUUGUAAACUGCUUUUGUAUGGGGAUAAAGUCAAUCACGUGUGAUUGUUUGCAGGUACCAUACGAAUAAGGACCGGCUAAUUCCGUGCCAGCAGCCGCGGUAAUACGGAAGGUCCGGGCGUUAUCCGGAUUUAUUGGGUUUAAAGGGAGCGUAGGCUGGAGAUUAAGUGUGUUGUGAAAUGUAGACGCUCGACGUCUGACUUGCAGCGCAUACUGGUUUCCUUGAGUACGCACAACGUUGGCGGAAUUCGUCGUGUAGCGGUGAAAUGCUUAGAUAUGACGAAGAACUCCGAUUGCGAAGGCAGCUGACGGGAGCGCAACUGACGCUGAAGCUCGAAGGUGCGGGUAUCGAACAGG